GAGAGGCCUCUUCUUAGCCUAAGCAUAAGUGACUAUUCUGUUGCUUCAAGGCAUGGUAAUGCCGGUAGUCAUUCAGUCAGUGAUGAUUCCCACAAUAAAAUGGGUAAAACUUUCUACAUGGAGUCGAACACUCUUAAUGGUUCUAAAAGUGAGAUCCCUUUGGGAACUGUUACGGGCAUUGCUGUGGCUGCAGCAGGGGUUUCUCAGCAGAUACCGCCUGAAAGAAUGGGGAUGCAGGGACAGCCUCCGCUUAAGCCUCCACCCGGUAGGGUAAAUCCUUUUGAAGUUCCUACUAGUCCAGCCCCUCCCCCACUACCUCCUGCCAAGAUAACCAAUCUCGCUGCUCCAUCCCCACCGCCACCACCACCGCCACCGAAGCCUUCAGCUGGCAGUCCACGCCCUCCUGCACCAGGGCCGCCUCCUCCACCACCCAUACCAGUUCGUGCUAAGGCUGGUCCUCGUCCGCCACCACCUCCGGGCCCUGGUGCUACUCCACCUCGUCCUCCUCCAACAGGUUUGAAGCCACCUCGACCUUCGCCUCUUGGAUCAAAUGCAUCCUCUAGUGCUUCUGUUGAGGGAUCAGAGAGUGAUCCUUCUAAAACAAAGCUAAAACCUUUCUUCUGGGAUAAGGUUCUAGCAAACCCUGACCAUUCAAUGGUUUGGCAUCAAAUCAAAUCAGGAUCAUUCCAAUUUGAUGAAGAUAUGAUAGAGAGUCUCUUUGGAUACGCUCAUGCCGAUAAAGACAAG
rnacentral:misc_RNA from 1 species